GAUGAACGCUGGCGGCGUGCCUAACACAUGCAAGUCGAGCGGACGGACGAGGCUUUUGCUUCUCUGCUGUUAGCGGCGGGCGGGUGAGUCACACGUGGAUACCCUCUCUAUGAGACUUAGAUCACUUCGGGAGCCCGGAUAUAACACCGGAUAAUAUUUUGAACCGCAUGGUUCAACAGUGAAAGACGGUUUUGCUGUGACUUAUACAUGGAUCCGCGCUGCAUUAGCUAGUUGGUAAGGUAACGGCUUACCAAGGCAACGAUGCAUAGCCGACCUGAGAGGGUGAUCGGCCACACUGGAACUGAGACACGGUCCAGACUCCUACGGGAGGCAGCAGUAGGGAAUCUUGCACAAUGGGCGAAAGCCUGACGGAGCAACGCCGCGUGAGUGAUGAAGGUCUUCGGAUCGUAAAGCUCUGUAAUUAGGGAGGAACAGAUGUAUAAGUAACUGUGCAUGUCUUGACGGUACCUAAUCAAAAAGCCACGGCUAACUACGUG
rnacentral:rRNA from 1 species